GAUGAAGAACGUAGCGAAAUGCGAUAAGUAAUGUGAAUUGCAGAUUUCCAGUGAAUCAUCGAAUCUUUGAACGCACAUUGCGCCCGCCAGUAUUCUGGCGGGCAUGCCUGUUCGAGCGUCAUUACAACCCUCAGGCCCCCGGGCCUGGCGUUGGGGAUCGGCAGAAGCCCCCUGUGGGCACACGCCGUCCCUCAAAUACAGUGGCGGUCCCGCCGCAGCUUCCAUUGCGUAGUAGCUAACACCUCGCAACUGGAGAGCGGCGCGGCCAUGCCGUAAAACACCCAACUUCUGAAUGUUGACCUCGAAUCAGGUAGGAAUACCCGCUGAACUUAAGCAUAUCAAUAAGCGGAGGA
rnacentral:misc_RNA from 1 species